UUCAACAUUAACGAUUCGAUUUUGUUUCGUUUAUGCUUUGAAACAAAAUGAAAUACUUUCUAGAGAAAUUCCUCGAUAUCAAAUCGCAAACGGGGUAUAGAGGCUUGACAGCUAGUGUAAAUAAACAACAUCCGCAUGUCUAAACACAAUUAUAGGAAUUCUUUAAUACAUAGAAUUUGCUUAACAAUAACAAAGUUCACCCUCGUAAGCGCAAUAUUCAACUGGUUAUGGGCAAAAAUAUACUAAAGUGGAUGUUCUUGUACAUAUAUUUCUAUACGUUGAAAGCAGUGGGAUUAUGCUACGUGUUUACAUAUACAUAAAUUUGAAUAUAUACUAAGUUCCAAAGCACAAUAAACUAAUUAUUGGUCACGCGAAAGUUGGCCUCAAGGGUGAAAAUUGAUUUACUCAUUGACUAGUUGCAAUGUUUGCUCGAAACGGAUUUGUGUUUUUGUCGACAUAGAGGAAACUUUUUCAACUAUAUAUC